GAUGAAGAACGUAGCGAAAUGCGAUACUUGGUGAGAAUUGCAGAAUCCCGUGAACCAUCGAGUCUUUGAACGCAAGUUGCGCCCGAAGCCAUUAGGCCGAGGGCACGCCUGCCUGGGCGUCACACGUCGUUGCCCCCCCCAUCUACUCCUUCGGGAUUGCGGGGGGCGGAUGAUGGCCUCCCGUGCGCCUCGCCGCGCGGUUGGCAUAAAUGCCAAGUCCUCGGCGACGCACGCCACGACAAUCGGUGGUUGCGAAACCUCGGUUGCCCGUCGUGUGCGGUCGUCGCGCAUCGAGGGCUCGAAAAAAUUGCCGGGUUCCGGCUCGGCUUUCAACGCGACCCCAGGUCAGGCGGGGUUACCCGCUGAAUUUAAGCAUAUCAAUAAGCGGAGGA
rnacentral:misc_RNA from 1 species